GAUGAAGAACGUAGCGAAAUGCGAUAAGUAAUGUGAAUUGCAGAAUUCAGUGAAUCAUCGAAUCUUUGAACGCACCUUGCGCCCUUUGGCUAUUCCGAAGGGCAUGCCUGUUUGAGUAUCGUGAACACCUCAACUCUCAUGGUUUGCCAUGAUGAGCUUGGACUUUGGGGGUUUUGCUGGCCUUUGGUCGGCUCCUCUCAAACGGAUCAGCUUUCCAGUGUUUGGUGGCGUCACGGGUGUGAUAACUAUCUACGCCUGUGGUUUUCUGCCAGAUAACCUUCAGCGAUGGAGGUUCGCUGGAGCUCAUAAAUGUCUCUCUUCAGUGGAGACAGCUUUUUGGACGUUUGAUCUCAAAUCAGGUAGGACUACCCGCUGAACUUAAGCAUAUCAAUAAGCGGAGGA
rnacentral:misc_RNA from 1 species